rnacentral:rRNA from 1 species
UACAGGGGGUGCUAGCGUUGUUCGGAAUUACUGGGCGUAAAGGGCGCGUAGGCGGUUUCGCAAGUCAGAAGUGAAAUCCCGGAGCUUAACUCCGGAAUUGCUCCUGAUACUGCGAGGCUAGAGUGCGUUAGAGGAUGGCGGAAUUCCUAGUGUAGUGGUGAAAUACGUAGAUAUUAGGAAGAACACCGGUGGCGAAGGCGGCCAUCUGGGGACGCAACUGACGCUGAGGCGCGAAAGCGUGGGGAUCAAACAGG